rnacentral:tRNA from 1 species
AAUAGAGUGGCUGAAAAUAAAGGCAAUAAAUUGUAAAUUUAUUUAUGGUAUAACCCUCUGUUA